rnacentral:lncRNA from 1 species
UCUGACUUCUUCAAUAAGGCUGUGCCCCCUGAUGUAUACACAGACCAGGUGAUAAAACGGAUGAUAAAAUGCUGUUCCUUGCUGAAUUGUCAUACACAGGUGGCAAUUUUAUGUCAGUUCCUCAGAGAAAUUGACUACAAAACAGCCUUCAAGUCAUUGCAGGAACAGAACAGAUCAAAGCCAUUGGCCAAACAGAAUUGAAUGCAAGCAACCCUGAAGAAGUACUACAGCUGGCAGCACAGAGAAGGAAAAAGAAGUUUCUACAAGCAAUGGCAAAACUUUACUUUUAAGCAGUUAGUUAAUUUUUUUUAAUUUUAUUUUUUAAACUAUGGGCUAAAAGUAAACAGUAUUAAAAGAUUAAGUUUAUAUAAU